rnacentral:rRNA from 1 species
GACGAACGCUGGCGGCGCGCCUAACACAUGCAAGUCGAACGAGCGAGAGAGAGCUUGCUUUCUCGAGCGAGUGGCGAACGGGUGAGUAACGCGUGAGGAACCUGCCUCAAAGAGGGGGACAACAGUUGGAAACGACUGCUAAUACCGCAUAAGCCCACGACCCGGCAUCGGGUAGAGGGAAAAGGAGCAAUCCGCUUUGAGAUGGCCUCGCGUCCGAUUAGCUAGUUGGUGAGGUAACGGCCCACCAAGGCGACGAUCGGUAGCCGGACUGAGAGGUUGAACGGCCACAGUGGGACUGAGACACGGCCCAGACUCCUACGGGAGGCAGCAGUGGGGAAUAUUGCACAAUGGGGGAAACCCUGAUGCAGCGACGCCGCGUGGAGGAAGAAGGUCUUCGGAUUGUAAACUCCUGUUGUGGAGGAAGAUAAUGACGGUACUCAACAAGGAAGUGACGGCUAACUACGUG